UUUCCUAAGAGUAAUGUCAAAGCAGAGAAAUGGUGCGCUGUCCCUUUAACUAGUACGAGCGUCGCAGGGUCAUGUGGUCUGCUUCCUCCUUGAAAGGAGCAGAGAGAUUUUCCGCCCUAGUCACGAAAAUUGAUCCGGUGUGCGGCCACUGAGUUUUUACCUACUGCUGCUACCGCAUUCAUUGAUGUUUCAAAGCAAAAAGCAAAAUAAAGAAACAAACGGGAAAAUU